rnacentral:lncRNA from 10 species
CGGGGCCGGGCUGCUGGGUCCGAGCUCUGGGCACGAUGUCCUCCCUGACGCCGCCAGGACAGCGCCUGGCCCAGGCCUGGGCCUGGUGAACGCGGGUUUCUUCCUCUGAGGUUCAACACUCCGCACUUGGGUUGGCUCCUUUCAUCCUGAUUGGUUUAUUCGCCACGUGCCAAGCACUGAAGAGGGCGUGCAGGAUGGAUACUUUUGGAGCAAAAAUAGCCCUGCUUCUUUCCUGGGGAGGGAUCGCACUUUCUAGAGGGGCGGUUUUCAAAGUAUGGUCUCAGGACUAGCAGCAUCGAAAAUGCUGGGAACUCGUUAGAAAAGCAAGUUUUCAAUCCUCGCCCCAGAAUCAGAAACUCGGGGUGGAGCCCAGCAAUGUGUGUCCUGACAAGUCCACGCGCGACCCCAGUGCUGGCUAGGGUUGCAAAGCCACUGCUCUACGGAGCGAGCGAGAUCCAUCAUAGUGGGACAAGCGAGAGGAUGAGGCCAUACAGACCAGGGUACUGUUCCACGCACUUGACACCAAUCCACCCAUUUCACCUGCAUGAUCACCCUGCCUUUGCAUGAGUUGCCGGUGUGGACAGAGCAGGGACACAGUGAGACAGCGGAUUCCAGCUUUGCUCUUACCUAGAACACACUGCCUCUCACCAGGAAUCGUCCUUCCAUUUUAUGCAGUUAUCCCAGACAAUGAUGCACAAGCUUUGGGAAAAAAACCCCACAAGUCCAAAGGUGUACUUCAUAAUAAAGGCAAGUUAUCUGUCA